UACGUAGGGACCGAGCGUUGUCCGGAUUCAUUGGGCGUAAAGAGCUCGUAGGCGGCUGCUCAAGUCGAAUGUGAAAACUCGAGGCUCAACCUCGAGCCUGCAUUCGAUACUGGGCGGCUAGAGUCUGGUAGGGGGAGUCUGGAAUUCCUGGGUGUAGCGGUGGAAUGCGCAGAUAUCAGGAGGAACACCGGUGGCGAAGGGCGGGAUCCUGGGCCAGUACUGACGCUGAGGAGCGAAAGCGUGGGGAGCAAACAGG
rnacentral:rRNA from 1 species